GCUGUGCUGCCAGAGGGUGGCUGACAGUGGCCUCGGGGAGCUGGUUUGUGCCAUGGAAAAAUGACGUGCGCAGCAUGCAGCAGCCUUGUGGAUUCUGUGUGGAUUCUGCCUCAGUGGUUUCCCAGAGCGAGGGGUGGCUAUUGUGCCCUUAUGUGAAUAAGCUAAAGGGCUUGCUCUGGAGGGCUGUGCAAACCUAGCUUUUCCUGCUUACUCCUGCCAGGCCAUGGGGCCCCAUGAUGGCCCCGGCUAUUCAUCUCCCUGUGAGACCAUCUGACUGAAGUGAGCAGCAGCCUCUUGUCUCCUCUGUCCUGCAGACAGAGCUCUCUCCGUGUAACUUAUGAGCUUGCAAUAGUGGCCAUAAUGACUCUGGGACAGAAAAAGAAAUACUUCAAGGAGCCACAUGGACAAAGGAGGACAGAUAAAAGGCAUCUUAUGCCUUUCCAUGGCAGACUGCGUAAGGACACUCGAAAGCCGGAGUGGUGUGCGGUACCUGCUGGGCUGUCUGAAGAGAGCGGUUGAGACACAGGUCUGACAUGACUUGAAAGAUGGGUAAUAACGUACCAGAACUAUCACCUUUAUCGCAAGUCAGUGAUUUUGAAUUCAGCUCAUCUUUCUAAUGGUCAAAAAUUGUUACCAAGAGAGAGAAGUUCAGUUGCCUGUUUGUUGUAAGUGCAAGAGGAGGCCAAAACCCCCAUCUCUGCUGCCUCCUGAGCUCUGUUCUUCCUCCUUGGAGGUUCCCCAGGCCAAGCAUUGUGUAUGGUGAUGGUGCGACAUGAUGAACUUCCACGUCACCCUCAUCUUUGCUGCAGCAUUUUUGUGAGUAAAACAAAUUGUCCACUUUCAACUUGCCAAGUACCAAGGCCUGAUCCUCUAGCUGAAAAGCAUAUGGGCUUCUUCUCUCCUGCAGCGUGCCUGGUCUUGGUGCUGUCUGGAGAAGGGCCAUCAGGACUGCCCUGCCCCACCGCAGGGUUGCGGCAAUGGAGGGUGCCCCGCGCAGAGGCCCUCGCCCUCCGUGCCCCAGUAGCCCUCCUCCAGCGGCACCGCAGCCCUGGGCCUGGCACCUCGAGCCACCAUCUGCCUUCCCUAGGCUGCCUCCUGCUCCGCAAUGACAUUUCUGAACAUUUCAUACAUAUUUAAGAUGAGUUGUUAGGUGCCUGCCUUCCUGUAAAAGCUUUUUAAAUUAUUUUUGAAUGAA